GGUUGGUCCCGAGUGCAGUGGUGUUACAAACAAAUCAUCACAACCAGUUUCAAGGAUUCCUUCGCUCUUCUCCACGUCCCACUGCUUUGCACUGGACCAGCCUUAA
rnacentral:Y_RNA from 1 species